UUCAAGAUGGAUGGAAUCACGACUACCACACACUCAACAGAAUUCUGAUAUAAAUUCUUGUUCGUGUGCUCCGUGGGAACAGAACGAAGACAUAGGGCCAGAAUGGAGAGUCUGGUGCACUACAGUAAUCCAUCCCACAGCCUCUCUGUGCUGGGGGUGCUCAAUGAGCAGCGCCUGAGGGGGCAGCUCUGUGACACAGUCUUGGUUGUGGGGGAUCAGCGGUACCAGGCCCACAGGAGUGUGCUCGCCGCUAGCAGUGAGUAUUUCCAAUCACUGUUCACGCGAAGGGAGUCUGAGCCCCACAAAGUGAUACAGCUGGACUUCUGUGAGCCUGACGCCUUUGAGAUAGUACUGAAUUACAUAUACUCAUCCUCCCUCUUCGUGGAUAGAGGCAGCCUGGCAGCCAUCCAGGAGCUGGGCUACAGUCUAGGAAUCCCUUUUCUAACCAACAUUAUGUCAACAAGGCCGCAUGUGUCCUACUGCGUCUCCAGAAAAAGGCUGUCCUUCUCAGAGGACGAUAACGACAUCCAGCUGAGGAGUGUCAUUGUGCGCCAGAGCCGAAGGGGUGAUGCUCCCGGGGCCRGACGCUACAGUUCAAAUGAUCAAGGAGAACAGACUCAAGCUUCAGGACACAGGAAACCAAACGAAUCAGCCAGAAACACUGCAUCCAAUCCCAGAAAAUCAGCUGAAGCAACUGGUGAGGGUUCUGAUAGCAAGCCCAUCAGUUCAUAUGCCUCCAUCUUAAAGGGGAAGACAUCAUCACACACAGGGGCAUCAGUAAGGCCACAGCUCACCUCCUCAGUCUCCUUCAGUGAAUCUCCAACAGUCAUGUUACAGUCUGAUCUAAGCACUAAAGAAGAGGAGGAGGCGCAGAGGCUCUACAGAUCCAAACCACAAUUUCAGGGCCAGGUAGGGGAUCCUAGCCAGACCAUUGACAGGAGUGGCCCACUCAUAAAAAGCCUGCUGCGCAGGUCAUUAUCCAUGGACAGUCCCGUCCCAGUCUUCUCCCCCACACUGGAGCUCAAUAAACUGCAAGGUCGAGAACAGUCUGUUGUUAAGAUGGUGGCAAAUACAGAGGAAGGGAUUCAGACAGAGCACAAACAAAGUGUGAAAGUAGUUCCGCCGCUUCUUCUCAAGUCAAUGCACCACAGUAGGUAUGAUAAAGAUGAAACUCCAGGAAAGGAGUUCCAUGUGAAGACAGAGCCUAGCAGCCCACUGUCUGACCCCUCUGAUAUCAUUAGAAUCACAGUUGGGGAUUCUCUACCAGUUAACCUCAAAAACAAUGAAAUGGAUUUUGACCAAGGCCCUACUAAGCCAUUUUCUAAACUCCCUGGAAAGAGAAGGGUGAGGAGAGACAAUCGAAGGUACCCAUUCAAAAAGUCUAAAGGGGUGAACGAACAUGAUUUCCCAUGUGAAGAUGACGACGACAAUAUGUCAGAAUCUGUACCUCACAACUCCAACAUGGAUGACAAUGAUGAAGACUGGACUGAUGAUCCCAGGAAGAGCAAGAUGUUUAAAUGUUGGAUCUGUUUGAAAGUGUUCAGAUCCAAUGCUGGAUUGCACCGCCAUGUUAACAUGUAUCACAACCCAGAUAAGCCAUACGCUUGUGACAUCUGCCACAAACGCUUCCACACUAACUUCAAAGUCUGGACCCACUGCCAAACCCAGCAUGGAGUGGUACAAAACCCUGCUUCAUCCUCCAGCUCAUUCGAGCUGGAUGAGAAGUUUCAGAGGAAGCUGAUUGAUAUUGUGCGGGAGAGAGAAAUAAAGAAAGCCUUGCUCAUGAAGCUGAGGAGAAAUAAGCAGGGUUCGCAGUCUCAGGUAUUUGCCAAAAAAGGUGGCCUGAGGUCCAAGUCAAAUUUGAUAUGCCCUUACUGUGGGAAAUUGUUUGUGUUUCUGUCUCAGUUCAAGCAGCAUUUGAAGACACACCCUGCGGAGAGAGACAACCAAGAGACUGAGAGAGAGAGCAGUCUCUACCAAAAAGACCAGCCCAGUCAGAGAGAGAACACGGACACAGAGGUUUACUCCUGCAGACUCUGCAAUGAGAAGCUGUCCUCUCUCUUUGAGCAGGGAGACCACGAGAGGGGCUGUCGACACGCAACCGUGUGCCCUUACUGUGGCCUCCGAUUCUCCAGCCCAGCGGUUAAAAAAGAACAUGAAGCACACUGCAAGUACAAGAAACUGACCUGCCUGGAGUGCAUGAGGACCUUCAAGUCUUCCUUCAGCAUAUGGAGACACCAGGUGGAGGUUCACAACCACAACAUUAUGACUGUUAAGGAGCAGAUGAGCCAUCGAGAGGAGAACAAUGGAGAAGUAUCUGACCACUUCGGAAGGCCUCUCCAUGCCCAGGAGUCUGUGGGAGCGGGGAGCUCCAGAGAAGACAUAAUCUACAGUGACUCCUCAGGUCCGCCUAUGUUGGACUCGGAGGAUUCUUCAUCAUUCGUGCCCGAGGACCUGAAUGCUAGCCAGUGUCACAACGAACAUCACGGCGAGCUGACAGUGAAGGAUGAGCCCAUUGAGGAGGCCGUGAGCGAGAGGGAGGACAUGAUGUCUGGGGCCUCCGUCGAGCCUGAGGAGCCAGGCGUGUGGCCAUGCGAAAAAUGUGGCAAGCUCUUUGGUGGCCACAAAGACCUGGAGCGUCACCAGGAGCUGCUGUGCCACAUCAAACCCUUCAUCUGUCACAUCUGCAACAAGGCCUUCAGGACCAACUUCCGCCUUUGGAGCCACUUCCAGUCCCACAUGUCAACCUCCGACGAACCUGGAGCGAGAGAGKUUGAUGACAGGCGCCCUUUGUCUCCCUCCCCCUCACCACCACCAGCGGUCACACAUGCAACUGGAUGUCCUGCCACACAAGUUUUUCCACCUAAACCAGUGGAGGCAGAUUCAGUGGAAGCUAAAGCUGUGGUAGCAAAAGAGAAGGAGAAGCCUGGAAGCUCGUCGUCAAUGCCCAGGACCAAGAGGCCAGAGAUGGACAGAUCACACAGUAGCCCCCUACCCAAGAUGGAUAGUGUGGAUAAUUCCCUCACCCCUCAGGAAUCAGAAACCCUUUUUUACCAUGCCCCCACUCUCUCUGCCCUCACAUUUAAGAGGCAGUACAUGUGUAAGCUCUGCCAGAGAACAUUCAAAACUGCCUUUAGUCUUUGGAGCCAUGAGAAGAGCCAUAGUCACAUUUAAUUAUGUCUCACACAAACACCUGUACUCUGUUUUGAGCAUCUGAGAUGAUACUUUAUGCUCACAGCAUCGUAAGAGAUCAAAUACAACUCAGCCGACACAAGAAAGAUUUUGAAUGUAUCUAUUGCUGUUGGUAGUUGGCUUGCCUUCAUGUUAUCUUUUCCAGUGGCCAUGUGUCAUAGAGGUGAGAAAGUGAAUGUCUGCAAUUAACUGCUAUUUGACUCAUCAGCUCCUUACAAUGGUUACUUUGCCAUUGAUAUUAGAUUUACACAGUACUGACCUAAUUCAGAUAACCCCCUUUCAGUUGUCUUUACCUAUAGAACUAUUUUUUUGGAUUCAAGAAAGAGCUUUGUUUAGGAAUUGCUGUACUGUACAAUUCAAGAACAGUUACGUGCUUUUGCUUAAGUUGUGAAUUUUUGUUGAUUGAUGUGUGAAGAUGACAUUAUGAAGAUGAUAUUAGUGGCCUCAGGCAUCAUGUUUAUUGAUAUGCACUUUGCAAUUCUGUUCAAUAUUUACAUUACAUAUAAUGGUCAAAUUACAUUGAUUUAAUUUCAGUUAUAUGAAUCUUUAUUUUGAAUCCUCUGCAUUCCAUUAACAUUUCAGCUGUAACACUAUUUGUUAAUUCUUCAUUCUGAUUUUGUCGUUGCCUCAAUGAUAUUUCAUGUAGAUUAUACAAGUAAACAAGACCAAAGACCAGUUAGUAUUUCAACUGACACUUUUUUGUUGUUGUUGUAAAUCCUGAGUAAAAUAAAUAAUUUCUUGUUUAAUUUUAGCUAUCACUCAUUAAAUUACAGAUUAUCAUUAGUGGAUUAUUGUGUAAAGAAUAUGGAAAAUAUGUACUUUUGGGAAAGGAGUUUUGUUUACGUUCUGCCCACUGGGUGUGGUGUAUGGUAGAUUUAGUUUUUAAUGAUUAAUUUGGUACACAAAUACAACACCACACAAGCGACUUGUAUAGUAGAGUGAAUUUGAAUGGAAUUCACAGGAGUGAAUUUGAAUGGCUAAGAACAUGUGUAUUUUACUCUCUGUCGGCUCAAUACUAGUAUGAUUAAGUCUGAAAUAGUUUGUAUGAGGUUGAUAAUUACCCAGAGAGGCAAAAUGGCGAGACUUCCCGGAACACUUGCGAAAUAGACCGAACAGACCAGGUUUAUAUCGAAGGAGUGCCUAUGAAUUGAAGGCCUGCACAUGUGCAGUUCAGCACGAGAUUACCUUUAUACCUGAUGACGCGUUUCUGUGCAUGAGCUUAACUAGCUAACAUCGCCAUAACAUUGCCUAUAAGUGUGAUCUGGGAUUUAUAUUGUCAGUGGCGACACAUCAUUCAGGGCAGGCGGGUCAGAGCCCCACCUGUUUUGAACCCCACCUGUUUAGCUAUGAUUUUGGCUGUUUUGCUUGUUGUUUUGGCAUUAAUACGUGUCACAUAUCAGUUUGCAA